rnacentral:rRNA from 1 species
AAACGUCCCAGUUCGGAUUGUAGUCUGCAACCCGACUACAUGAAGCUGGAAUCGCUAGUAAUCGCGGAUCAGAAUGCCGCGGUGAAUACGUUCCCGGGUCUUGUACACACCGCCCGUCACACCAUGGGAGUCGGAAAUGCCCGAAGUCGGUGACCUAACUGAAAGGAAGGAGCCGCCGAAGGCAGGUCUGGUGACUGGGGUGAAGUCGUAACAAGGUAGC